rnacentral:tRNA from 1 species
GCAUUGGUGGUUCACUGGUAGAAUUCUCGCCUGCCAGGCGGGAGAACCGAGUUCGAUUCCGGGCCAAUGCA